ACUGCAGGACAGGAAAAAGCAAGUGAUGAGACAGCAUUUUCACCAGAUGAAAAAGGUGUCGCUUGUGAAACCAUCCCAUCACCUGAGGCCCGAAAACAGUUUGAAGAAAAUGGAGGGCCAUCUAGAACAAUGCUGUCCGCAGGUCUUGCAAGCAACACUAUUGUGCGUUCCAACCUUUUCGCUACUUCAAAAGCG